GGGCUGCUUGUGUGAUGGGGAUGGCUCUCUGCCCUGCGCUGCGUUCUGCAGAAACAGCACACGAAUAAAGUGCAUGUCAGCAUGUACAGAUUUUGACCCUGGCUGAAGUGGCACUUGGUGACGCACCUGUAUCGAAGAGUGAUAACCAUGGAGCUCCUAUGAAAAGGAGCAGCACUGUUUUCUGAAAUUCCCUGCAAUAAGGAUUCUGCUUGCAGAAGGGAGAUCAAGGGUUCAAGACAUCAGAGUACAAAUGCUGCUGGACAUAUUGUGGUCUACCAACCAUGUUAUCACAUCUCACAGACUGUGAUAGACGGAAACCUUGGUGUGACAGACAGCUUGCCUGUGACUUUGUCUUCAUAAACCAUGUGCGCCACAGUCAAAACUCCACCCUCAGCAAAAAGAACAGAGGAACAAAAGCAGCGAGCCAAGCUCAUGGACAUCUCCUGCAUUUGAGGCAAUCGAAGCCAAAGCUGCUGCUUUGCCCUUCACCAUGUUCCUGCUGCCUCCAGCAGAGCCCUGCAGAGCUGGGUCAUUUGGAUCUGCCCCUCCUGGGAAAGUGGUGGGUGCAGCCCCAGCUCUGUCACUGCUGCCUUGCACUGGGAGAGUGCAUUUGUGGAGUGUGGAAGCCAAUACGGAUCGUAAAGAGAUGGAGGAGUAAUCCAAAGGAGGCAGGAAGCAAUCCAGGUGCAGCAAGGAUUGGAACAAGGCAGGUUGAGGUCAGAGAUUUCCCACUGGCUUCCAGCUGCCAGGAGAGCCACACUACCGAGCGGAGUGCCAAGGGAGAGGCUCCAAAGUUUGCUUAUGGAGGUUUGGGGAGGUUGGUCUGUGACAAGCCUUUGGUGUGCAGGUGAAUGGACUCUAUCUCAGCUAUCAGAUCUUCAGAAUCGUAGAACCAGAAAGGUUGAAGAAGAUAUCUAAGAUCAUCUGGUCC
rnacentral:lncRNA from 1 species